AACGAACGCUCGCGGCAUGCCGAACUCAUGUAAGUCGAACGAGACCUUCGGCUCUAUUGGCGCACGUGUGCGUAACGCGUGGGAACCUGCCCUUAGCUUCUGAAUAACUCCCCGAAAGGGGUUCUAAUACCGGAUAAUGUCAUCGGACCAAAGAUUUAUCGCCUUUGGAUGGGCCCGCGUUGGAUUAGCUACUUGGUAGGGUAAAAGCCUACCAAGGCGACGAUCCAUAGCUGGUCUGAGAGGAUGAUCAGCCACACUGGGACUGAGACACGUCCCAGACUCCUACGGGAGGCAGCAGUGGGGAAUAUUGGACAAUGGGCGAAAGCCUGAUCCAGCAAUGCCGCGUGAGUGAUGAAGGCCUUAGGGUUGUAAAGCUCUUUUACCCGGGAUGAUAAUGAGAGUACCGGGAGAAUAAGCUCGGGCUAACUCCGUG
rnacentral:rRNA from 1 species